rnacentral:tRNA from 1 species
GGGGGCGUAGCUCAGUUGGUUAGAGCGACUGCCUGUCACGCAGUAGGCCACCGGUUCGAGUCCGGCCGUCCCCG